UUAAGUAUGAAAAAAUUCAAUAAACCAUUCAUCAAGAAAACCAUCAAUAUUUGAUUUUAGCAGAUAGUUGAACCACAUGUGUUUCCUUUUCCUUGGUGAGAAACAAGUUUUUCUUUUAUGAGAAACAAAAGGAGUAUGAUAGAUAGGAAAGUUAUUUACAUGAAAGGAUAGAGGUCCUUCCAUCAUAAAUACAAACCAAACAAUGUUGGGGAAAAUAAGGAGUCCAA
rnacentral:lncRNA from 1 species